rnacentral:rRNA from 1 species
GUUGGUGGGGUAAAAGCUCACCAAGGCGACGAUCAGUAGCUGGUCUGAGAGGACGACCAGCCACACUGGAACUGAGACACGGUCCAGACUCCUACGGGAGGCAGCAGUGGGGAAUUUUGGACAAUGGGCGCAAGCCUGAUCCAGCAAUGCCGCGUGAGUGAAGAAGGCCUUCGGGUUGUAAAGCUCUUUUGUCAGGGAAGAAACGGUGGACUCUAAUACAGAUCACUAAUGACGGUACCUGAAGAAUAAGCACCGGCUAACUACGUGCCAGCAGCCGCGGUAAUACGUAGGGUGCAAGCGUUAAUCGGAAUUACUGGGCGUAAAGCGUGCGCAGGCGGUUGUGCAAGACAGAUGUGAAAUCCCCGGGCUCAACCUGGGAAUUGCAUUUGUGACUGCACGGCUAGAGUGUGUCAGAGGGGGGUAGAAUUCCACGUGUAGCAGUGAAAUGCGUAGAGAUGUGGAGGAAUACCGAUGGCGAAGGCAGCCCCCUGGGAUAACACUGACGCUCAUGCACGAAAGCGUGGGGAGCAAACAGGAUUAGAUACCCUGGUAGUCCACGCCCUAAACGAUGUCUACUAGUUGUCGGGUCUUAAUUGACUUGGUAACGCAGCUAACGCGUGAAGUAGACCGCCUGGGGAGUACGGUCGCAAGAUUAAAACUCAAAGGAAUUGACGGGGACCCGCACAAGCGGUGGAUGAUGUGGAUUAAUUCGAUGCAACGCGAAAAACCGUACCUACCCUUGACAUGUCUGGAAUCCUUGAGAGAUCAGGGAGUGCUCGAAAGAGAAUCAGAACACAGGUGCUGCAUGGCUGUCGUCGGCUCGUGUCGUGAGAUGUUGGGUUAAGUCCCGCAACGAGCGCAACCCUUGUCAUUAGUUGCUACGAAAGGGCACUCUAACGAGACUGCCGGUGGCAAACCGGAGGAAGGUGGGGAUGACGUCAAGUCCUCAUGGCCCUUAUGGGUAGGGCUUCACACGUCAUACAAUGGUACAUACAGAGGGCCGCCAACCCGCGAGGGGGAGCUAAUCCCAGAAAGUGUAUCGUAGUCCGGAUUGUAGUCUGCAACUCGACUACAUGAAGUUGGAAUCGCUAGUAAUCGCGGAUCAGCAUGUAGCGGUGAAUACGUUCUCGGGUCCUGUACACACCGCCCGUCACACCAUGGGAGCGGGUUUCACCAGAAGUGGGUAGCCUAACCGCAAGGAGGGCGCUCACCACGGUGGGAUUCG